GAGUUUGAUCAUGGCUCAGAGCGAACGCUGGCGGCAGGCUUAACACAUGCAAGUCGAGCGGGCCCUUCGGGGUCGAGCGGCGGACGGGUGAGUAACGCGUGGGAACGUGCCUUCUGGUUCGGAAUAACCCUGGGAAACUAGGGCGUAAUACCGGAUACGCCCUUUUGGGGAAAGGUUUACUGCCGGAAGAUCGGCCCGCGUCUGAUUAGCUAGUUGGUGGGGUAAUGGCCUACCAAGGCGACGAUCAGUAGCUGGUCUGAGAGGAUGAUCAGCCACACUGGGACUGAGACACGGCCCAGACUCCUACGGGAGGCAGCAGUGGGGAAUAUUGGACAAUGGGCGCAAGCCUGAUCCAGCCAUGCCGCGUGAGUGAUGAAGGCCUUAGGGUUGUAAAGCUCUUUUAUCCGGGACGAUAAUGACGGUACCGGAGGAAUAAGCCCCGGCUAACUUCGUGCCAGCAGCCGCAGU
rnacentral:rRNA from 1 species